rnacentral:tRNA from 1 species
GACUCUGUGACGCAAUGGUAGCGCGUCUGACUCCAGAUCAGAAGGUUGCGUGUUCGAAUCACGUCAGGGUCA